rnacentral:rRNA from 1 species
AGUUUGGACAAUGGGCGAAAGCCGGAUCCAGCAAUGCCGCGUGCAGUAUGAAGGCAUGAGCGUUGUAAACUGCUGUUGUACGGAACGAAAAGCUUUGGGUUAAUACCCUGGAGUCAUGACGGUACCGUAGGAAUAAGCACCGGCUAAAUACGUGCCCGCAGCCGCGGUAAUACGUAGGGUGCAAGCGUUAAUCGGAAUUACUGGGCGUAAAGCGUGCGCAGGCGGUUUUGUAAGACAGAGGUGAAAUCCCCGGGAUCAACCUGGGAACUGCCUUUGUGACUGCAAGGCUAGAGUACGGCAGAGGGGGGUGGAAUUCCGCGUGUAGCAGUGAAAUGCGUAGAUAUGCGGAGGAACACCGAUGGCGAAGGCAACCCCCUGGGCCUGUACUGACGCUCAUGCACGAAAGCGUGGGGAGCAAACA